rnacentral:rRNA from 1 species
UAGGGAAUCUUCCGCAAUGGGCGAAAGCCUGACGGAGCAACGCCGCGUGAGUGAUGAAGGUCUUCGGAUCGUAAAACUCUGUUAUUAGGGAAGAACAAAUGUGUAAGUAACUAUGCACGUCUUGACGGUACCUAAUCAGAAAGCCACGGCUAACUACGUGCCAGCAGCCGCGGUAUUACGUAGGUGGCAAGCGUCAUCCGGAAUUAUUGGGCGUAAAGCGCGCGUAGGCGGUUUUUUAAGUCUGAUGUGAAAGCCCACGGCACAACCGUUGAGGGUCUUUUAAAACUAGAACACUUGAGUGCAGAAGAGGAAAGUGGAAUUCCAUUUGUAGCGGUGAAAUGCGCAAAGAUAUGGAGGAACACCAGUGGCGAAGGCGACUUUCUGGUCUGUAACUGACGCUGAUGUGCGAAAGCGUGGGGAUCAAACAGG